rnacentral:rRNA from 1 species
GAUGAACGCUGGCGGCGUGCCUAAUACAUGCAAGUCGAGCGAACACACGAUGAGCUUGCUCCUCUGACGUUAGCGGCGGACGGGUGAGUAACACGUGGAUAACCUACCUCUAAGACUGGGAUAACUUCGGGAAACAGGUGCUAAUAAUGGAUAAUAUAUUGAACCGCAUGGUUCAAUAGUGCAAGACGGUUUUCGUGUCUCUUAUAGAUGGAUUCGCGCCGCAUUAGCUAGUUGGUAAGGUAACGGCCUACCAAGGCGACGAUGCGUAGCCGACCUGAGAGGGUGAUCAGCCACACUGGAACUGAGACACGGUCCAGACUCCUACGGGAGGCAGCAGUGGGGAAUCUUCCACAAUGGGCGAAAGCCUGACGGAGCAACGCCGCGUGAGUGAUGAAGGUCUUCGGAUCGUAAAACUCUGUUAUUGGGGAAGAACAAAUGUGGAAGUAACUAUGCACGUCUUGACGGUACCUAAACAGAAAGCCACGGCUAACUACGUG